CUCACCGGCUUGCGCUCUCGCCGAGGCUCCAGCUGCCCGCGGACCAACCACCUUCCUCUUGCUUCUCCCCGCUCCGAAAGCUAAGAGGCAGGUGGUAGCCUACUCACCUGGUUAUUGAUCCUGGUUGGCAUCAGCUGACUGUCAGCAGGUCCUUGGGCAAACUGUGUGUGAGAUGGGACGGACGUCAAAGGACAAGCGGGAUGUCUACUACCGGCUGGCCAAGGAGAAUGGCUGGCGAGCCCGCAGCGCCUUCAAGCUGCUACAACUUGAUGAGGAAUUCCAUCUCUUUCAAGGAGUGACACGAGCAGUUGACCUGUGUGCAGCCCCAGGCAGCUGGAGUCAGGUGCUAAGCCAAAAGAUUGGGAGCCAGGGGUCCGGCCAUGUGGUGGCCGUGGACCUGCAGGCCAUGGCUCCACUACCAGGUGUGUUACAAAUCCAGGGGGACAUCACCCAGCUGUCCACUGCCAAGGAGAUCAUUCAACACUUCGAGGGCUGCCCCGCGGACCUAGUGGUGUGUGAUGGGGCUCCUGAUGUAACUGGCCUCCAUGAUGUCGAUGAGUACAUGCAGGCCCAGCUCCUCCUAGCUGCUCUGAACAUUGCUACACAUGUCUUGAAACCAGGGGGCUGCUUUGUGGCUAAGAUCUUCCGAGGCCGAGAUGUAACGCUCCUCUACAGCCAGCUGCGUGUCUUCUUCUCCAGUGUGCUCUGUGCCAAGCCCAGGAGCAGCCGGAACUCCAGCAUCGAGGCCUUCGCUGUCUGUCAAGGUUAUGACCCUCCGGAAGGCUUCAUGCCGGACCUGACCAAACCUCUGCUGGACCACUCUUACGACCCAGAUUUCAACCAACUGGAUGGUCCCACCCGCAUCAUUGUGCCCUUUGUGACCUGUGGGGACCUGAGUUCCUAUGAUUCGGAUCGAAGUUACCCACUAGACCUGGAGGACGGCUCAGAGUACAAGUACACUCCACCCACACAGCCCCCCAUCUCACCACCGUACCAGGAGGCCUGCACAUUGAAGAAGAAGGGGCGGCUGGCCAAGGAGAUCCGCUCCCAAGACUGCCCCAUCAGCAAAGUGGACAAGUUGACCCAGCCCUUGGCCGCCCCUCAGCGCCACACCCUGCUGGCCCCUGAGGUCUGGAAACGUGGCUCUGAGCCUGCACUGACCCCUUCCCAGUUUGCCUCUUUCUGCCCUGAAUCACAUGGUUUCUGGGGCUCAGAUUCUCUUUCCUGCCUCCCAAUAACUAUAAAAAUCACUGGGUAAAACCAGACAUAAUGAGUGGAAAAGUUUAGCCAAAUAUCUGAGUCCCUUUUCUUUUUUUGGAGUAGAUGGAAGACAAUGAAAUGAAUUGUUCACCUUGAUCCAUUAAGCUGGCAAGCUGCUACGACUCAGAAACUACUCAAUAUCAGGACAACCAGAACUUGGGUUGAUGAACUUGUUUUUAGGUAUCAUCUCAUCAGCGGGGCCUGAACAAACAAGCCCUGAGUAGGAAUCUGCAGCAACCACCGCUAAGACAGCAAGGACAGAAGUACCACAGAAGUCUGUCUGUGCUGCCGAGGGAAUUCUUGAGUGAAGUCUUACCUCUUCUCUAAACCUCUUCGGGCUUCCUAACUUGGAUAGAAAUCGGGAUGUCCAUGAAUUUGAUGGAAGAAAAUGGUACAUCUUUAUUUUCACUACUAUAACUGAGGUUUAGCCUUUUUACCAGUUGCAAAUGUUGGCAACAAAUCUCAGUAGUACAGGCAACACCUGGGAUAUUCCCACAGACAAAUCAGUUCCUUUUCUGUUACAUUACAGUUGUUGCAGGCAUCUUGGAAUAUUGUUCACGUUCACUGUGACUGGGAAUGAUAGCAGACCUUAUCAUUUGAUGUACUAAUAAAAGAGCCCAUACACUGCA